UACGUAGGGGGCCAGCGUUGUCCGGAAUCAUUGGGCGUAAAGCGCGCGUAGGCGGUCAGGUAAGUCCGGUGUGAAAGUCAAAGGCUCAACCUUUGAAUGCCGCUGGAUACUGCCUGACUUGAGUCCGGAAGGGGCGAGUGGAAUUCCUGGUGGAGCGGUGAAAUGCGUAGAGAUCGGGAAGAACGCCGGCGGCGAAAGCGACGUC
rnacentral:rRNA from 1 species